rnacentral:tRNA from 1 species
GUGCGCGUACGUGAUGGAACACGCGCCGCGCCGCCGCCGCGCGUUCUUCGGCAGCUUCGUGCCGGUCUCGACGUUCUCGUCGUUCGCGUGCGC